rnacentral:rRNA from 1 species
AGUGAACGCUGGCGGCGUGCUUAACACAUGCAAGUCGAACGAGAACGGAUUAUAGCUUGCUAUAAUUGUCAGCUAAGUGGCGCACGGGUGAGUAAUGUAUAGGUAAUAUGCCUCUUACUAAGGGGUAACAAAUGGAAACGUUUGCUAAUACCUUAUACUCCUUAUUAACAUAAGUUAAUAAGGGAAAGAUUUAUUGGUAAGAGAUUAGCCUGUAUUGUAUCAGUUAGUUGGUGGGGUAAUGGCUUACCAAGACUAUGACACAUAACUGGUUUGAGAGGAUGAUCAGUCACACUGGAACUGAGACACGGUCCAGACUCCGACGGGAGGCAGCAGUGGGGAAUAUUGCACAAUGGACGAAAGACUGACGCAGCGACAUCGCGUGUAGAAUGAAGGCCCUCGGGUCGUAAACUACUUUUUGGGAGCCAUGAAGGCGCCCAGAAUAAGGAACUACUAACUACGUGCCAGCAGCCGCCGUAA